ACCCUAGAGUUCUAAUCCAGUCACUUUAAAAAUACAUCAAUCAGAAAGCAUACAAUGCAAUAAGACAUAUCAAAUUUCGGCAGCUCUUUAUAAGCUCUUGAAAAAAAGUAAACACCACAAUUUCAUUCACACAGUAACAUUCAUUUAGUCAAUUCAAGUUUUUAUCAGUCUUCACACCUCUCCUGGCGCCAGUGACCACAGGACUUCCGUGAGAACAUCUCCUCCUGGAAACUGCCACAGCGAAGGUGUGCCUCUCGUAUCUGACAAGCAGAGGGAAGACAACCAUCAUUUCUGAGAGGUUCAUCUUGUCAAAUGAAAGUAUGACGUGGGAUGAAGGGCAGAGCUACUGCAGACAGCACUACACAGACAUGGCCAGUGUGAGGAACCUGGCUGAGAGCAGGAAGAUAGGGAACAUUGUACCGAAGGGAAACUGGGUGUGGAUCGGCCUGUUCAGAGACUGGAGCUGGUCGGACCAGAGUAACUCUUCAUUCAGAUACUGGCGUUCUAGAGCACCCAAUAAUCGCUACGGGAACUGUGUGUCGGUGGUUCGGUAAAUCAGGCAAAUGGGAAGACUACACAUGUGGAACAAAACUUCCUUCUGCUGCUACGGUGCUCCCGCAGUGACGAAGACUCAGCAGGUGGUGCGAGUGAAGCUGAUCCCAAAAUGCCAGAACAUGGUCCUGACUGAUCCUGCCAUUCAGGAGGCCAUCUUGCAGCAUAUAAAGAAGGAAUUGACUGGGAAGGGGAUGUCUGAUGAUGCCAAACUGAGAUGGAAGGAGCAGCCUGAUGGGAAGAUCUUCCACAAGGAAGAAAAGGGGAAGAAGUAAGAAGGAGAAACUGAACCGAGUAUGAAGCUGUAAAUACUAUUACAGUAGAGACUAAGGGGACUUUUCUGACCAACAUCCCAUUUACAGCUCGACUUGCCAAAACCCUGAAAACUAACCCUUACCAUAACCCUAACUAUAUCCUUAACCAACCCCCUAACCUUAACCAAACACAUAACCAAUGACGUAUAUAAACCCUGGAUUGUUGAUGCUACAGUAUUUAUUGGCCAUUGAGAGACUUUGAAGCCACAGGUCGGCCAUAUUGGCACUCCCUAGUAGGAGCAGUCCUCCAAUGGAAUUGAAUAGAAUUCUACAGUAUUUCAAUUAAAAUGUUCAAGGACAAAAUUACAUGUUUUUAAGUAUGUUUUGUUGUAGUGGGGACAGGAACAUUAGUACUCUCCAAAAAGAAAUACUUUACGGAAUGUUUUUAAAAUAUAUUGUUUCAAUUUUAUGUUCAGCUUACAUAGUAUAAUUUUAAAGUAUGCAUUAAGGAGUCUGUUAUAGAAUAAAUAUGUCAAAACGGAUGUAGACAUUAAUAAGUGCAUUUCUAUAGCUUCCAAAAUAUUUUUACAAUUGGGGAGGAGUGCCAAGAUAGCUGCACCAGUAGCUUCAAUACAGAGCAUGAUGCCAGUCAUCCAGGGUUUGUACACAUCAUAGCACGUAACCCUAUUCUUAACCCUAACGUUCACCUGAUUCUAACCAAUUUGGAUAUUAAAUAUUGUCUUUCACCUCAGUCACGUCCGCUUAGUUUUUCCUUACUGUCUCAUAUCCCUUAUAUUCUAAUUUUCACACUCUAGCCAGUAGUUAUUUUGUAAUAAUGAUACAUUAUGUCAAAUUGCAUUUGGAUUGUGUUUUCACACUUAAUGCUGUUAUGAAUUGUUCAAACUAUAAUUCCAAGACAUGUCUAAAUGUUUCACCUUUCUUGUUACUGAUUCAAUGUAUUUACUUUUCUUGUUAUUUCUCAGUUUCUAAGAGUACACAACUAUGUUAACAUGAAACUGUGUGAUUGAUAGAUAGUAACAUUUUUAUUAAAAUGUUUUAAUUACUUUAUUUCUUAUUAUGAUUCAUAAUUAUUUUAAUAUAGUUUAUAAUGUAUUUUUAAACCAUUCUUACAGUGAUAUUAUUUCCAUUUCAUACUGCAUUUAUACUCUAGUAUGGAUAUACAGUAUAUAAACAUGUUAACAAAUAAUUGUCUUACUCUUUAAACUACUGUUGAUGUAAUUACAUUAAUGAAGUGAAAUACUAUUGAAGACAAUUCUGAGUCUGAAAUGGUUGAUUAGAAGUUAAGAAUCAGCAACUUUAUAUUACCGUACUGUAAUGUCAUGUUUAAUAGAUAACAUUGUACAUUGAAUUCAGCAACACUACUCAUCACAACUACAAAAUACAGCAGUAGGGUUCAAAUCAACAGUGUUUUACAAACUAUAGGGUAUGAUAUGUUUAAAAAACAUGUUUUCAACAUUAAAUCUAUUAAGACAC
rnacentral:lncRNA from 1 species